AACACUGGUGCUUCUGCAGCAGGGGCCAGACCUGACUGUUCAAUCCCUACAGCUUCAGGAAAACUGCUAGCCAGGAUACCACGAGCGGUUUGGUCGUACUCCUCGUGAUGCUGCUGAUUGAGCGUUUCAAUAUUGUAAGUCGCUUGCGUACUGGUGCUUUCAUUUACGUGCUGCAGGCAAGGCCCUGACACAUAGUAGAAGCUGGAAUGAGCAGAAGGAAGAUUUUACAGGUAACUUUGCCAAAGUUUAUUUUAAGUCAAGAGUAUAUAAGGAAGUAAUCGCUAUUACUGACCUGAUCCUGAGACACUCGCAUACUGACAAAUUCCAGAUUCUUCGGGAAAUAGAAACGAGGAUAAGCCAUUUGGUAGCUCCAGUUCCUGGCAACAAAUGGUGUGACCGUCCUUGGGCACAAGGGUUGUGUUGCUCGUAACAGAUCCAGUACCAAGAAUC
rnacentral:lncRNA from 1 species